rnacentral:rRNA from 1 species
ACCCAGGGUCUUGACAUUCUUUUGAUCACCCUGAGAGAAUCAGGUUUUCCCCUUCGGGGGGCAAAAUGACAGGUGGUGCAUGGUUGUCGUCAGCUCGUGUCGUGAGAUGUUGGGUUAAAUCCCGCAAACGAGCGCACCCUUUAUGACUAGUUGCCAGUAUUUAGUUGGGCACUCUAGUAAGACUGCCGGUGACAAACCGGAGGAAGGUGGGGAUGACGUCAAAUCAUCAUGCCCCUUAUGACCUGGGCUACACACGUGCUACAAUGGAUGGUACAACGAGUUGCGAGACCGCGAGGUCAAGCUAAUCUCUUAAAGCCAUUCUCAGUUCGGACUGUAGGUUGCAACUCGCCUACACGAAGUCGGAAUCGCUAGUAAUCGCGGAUCAGCACGCCGCGGUGAAUACGUUCCCGGGUCUUGUACACACCGCCU